rnacentral:lncRNA from 1 species
CAGUGCAUUGUGGGAUGGUAAGACACCUUGGCCUUCACCCUCUAGAUGGCAGUAGUGCUCUCCUCCCUGCCUGUUGUAGAAACCAAAAAUGUCUCCAGACAUUAAGAAAUGUUUGCCUUCUCACGCUCUUCUGAGGACUACUGUUUUAAGUAGAAUAUCUACAAGUGAAAUUGCUGAGUCAUAUGGAAGAAACCCAAGCCAAAUCCUGCUCUCCUGAAAAUACUUCUAUGAAGGGCUGGCAAAUCAGAGCUCUCUCAGUAACAGAAAUGCAGCUGAAACAAAUUCUAAUUUCACUGAGGCUGGUGUCAAGGCUAUCAACAGGACCUUAGGAAAUCACUGAUGACAGGUA